ensembl:lncRNA
AUGUACAGAAAAGUUAGACUCUUUGUAGCUACUAGUAGCUUUUCAUGGCUGCCUUCAUUCCAGCUCGCCCUUCUGCUCUACACUCAUUUUGCCUCCAAUAAAGUGUUUAUUAUUACAGCUCUACCAGUACUUCAUUGGUUGUCUUAUUUAUUUUGGAAUGAAAAGAAAUGCUGUCUACGUUGUCUAUAUUAUUUAAUUUGGUUAAUGAAGAUUGUGAUGAGUGGCGUAAUGGUGUAUUUUUACAUUAUGCUCUUGAGAAAUGAAAAAGCUGAUGCAGGACCGGUCUGUUUGGCAGGAUUUGUUCAAGCCUUGUGGGUGCUUGCAUUUUCUGAAGUCCCAGUCUAUUAUGAGAAGCUCAGCAUGAGGAAAAUGAUGUUCCUGUAUGGAUCAGCUGGUCUUGUUUUAGUGAACUCUGCUGCACUGAUGACAGAACUGAUAAUGAAAGCAGUUUAUGGUGUACGCCUGGUGGGAGAUUUGAGAGCCAUUGUCUUUCUGUCUGAGUGGCUUUUCACUGUAGCAUUGCUGAUUUUAUCCCUUCUUGCAUCCUGGAAACCCGUCAACACCGAGUCUCAGGAGGCUUCUCGGAUGUCGAUAGAUUAUAAUGCGACUCCUGGUACAAAGCACACCAGUGUAGAUAUGAACCAGAUGACUGGAGAAUCCGUUGAAAUGGAAACUCUGAGAAAAGUAUCCGAGAACAGCGAGGAGCAUCAAGAAGAGGAGAUCAACUAACAGUAAAGUGAACUGCACUUUCUAGAAGAUCUGACUGAACCUUUCUCACUGGGCAGAGGUUUUCAUGGAAUUAAAAAUUUCUGAGGGUAAAACCAUCGAACAUGCCAUUUGUUAUUUAUUUAUUUAUUUUUUGUCUGCAUAACUAUUAGCAGCAGACAUUGGUGCACUGCACAUCAUCAUAUUUCAGCCUGAAUUAUUUUUAUAACUGCACUGUUGUGCCAUUGGUAUUGUGGUUGCCAAACUAUGCUGAAUUCUACUUUGAAGUGACUUAAGUGUUUGAAGUGACUCAAAAAUUGUUUAUAUACUCUCAAACUUUUAUAUUUUUAUGCAUUUAAAUAUUUUACAUGUAAUAUGUAGCCUAUGUAAAUUAUUUACUUUAUGUAAUUUGUUAAAAUAUGCACUUUCUCAUCUUUGUUCUUAUGUUAUUGCUGACUAUGCUUUAAAAGUGCUUAGAGCACUUACGACAGUAUUUACUAAAGCAAUCAGCAUUAUUUUUCUUUAGUACCAAAAUGGGUAUUGAGGAAUGUUAAAUUUUACUGUAACUUUAUUGUGACUCUCUUUCAAGAGUUAGGGGUAUGUUUCUGGCCAGAGUAAGCUGCAAAGUGGAUCCAGAGUUGAAUGUAUAACAUAAUAUGCUCUUCUGUUGCUUUUUUCACUGACAUUUUUUGUGAAACAUGUUCUACCUUUUUCUUCUCUUUGGGAUGUUUAUGCACAUUGACUUCUGAGAUGAUGUUACUGUAUAUAUGACAAGAUUCUGCCUCUGAUAAAUUUGUGUAAGGUAUCAUCUUAAAUGUAAGAAGACCUUUGUUUUACAGGAUAUUGUUAUAGGCCUACAUGUUUAUUUUAUUAUUCAGAAGUAUUUUUAAAUGUAUUAUUUAUUAUUAUAAUAUUUUUUAAUUUAUUUUUCAUAUUUUUUGUACCAAGUUCAAACACAUGAUCUCAUGUAGUAUUAAAAUAUGAUCUGCAUCGCUCUGUAUAUUAUAAUAAAUAUUUUGCAAGAAAUUACA